UACGUAGGGUGCAAGCGUUGUCCGGAAUUAUUGGGCGUAAAGAGCUCGUAGGCGGUCUGUCGCGUCGAAUGUGAAAACCCGGGGCUCAACUCCGGGCUUGCAUUCGAUACGGGCAGGCUAGAGUGCGGUAGGGGAGACUGGAAUUCCUGGUGUAGCGGUGAAAUGCGCAGAUAUCAGGAGGAACACCGGUGGCGAAGGCGGGUCUCUGGGCCGUAACUGACGCUGAGGAGCGAAAGCAUGGGGAGCGAACAGG
rnacentral:rRNA from 1 species